rnacentral:rRNA from 1 species
GCGGGCAUGCUUACCAUGCAAGUCGACGAUGAAGCCCAGCUUGCUGGGUGGAUUAGUGGCGAACGGGUGAGUAACACGUGGGUGAUCUGCCCUGCACUUCGGGAUAAGCCCGGGAAACUGGGUCUAAUACCGGAUAUGACCAUGAGCUGCAUGGCUUGUGGUGGAAAGGUUUACUGGUGCAGGAUGAGCCCGCGGCCUAUCAGCUUGUUGGUGGGGUAAUGGCCUACCAAGGCGACGACGGGUAGCCGGCCUGAGAGGGCGACCGGCCACACUGGGACUGAGACACGGCCCAGACUCCUACGGGAGGCAGCAGUGGGGAAUAUUGCACAAUGGGCGAAAGCCUGAUGCAGCGACGCCGCGUGAGGGAUGACGGCCUUCGGGUUGUAAACCUCUUUCAGCAGGGACGAAGCGCAAGUGACGGUACCUGCAGAAGAAGCACCGGCCAACUACGUGCCAGCAGCCGCGGUAAUACGUAGGGUGCGAGCGUUGUCCGGAAUUACUGGGCGUAAAGAGCUCGUAGGCGGUUUGUCGCGUCGUCUGUGAAAACCCGCAGCUCAACUGCGGGCUUGCAGGCGAUACGGGCAGACUUGAGUACUGCAGGGGAGACUGGAAUUCCUGGUGUAGCGGUGAAAUGCGCAGAUAUCAGGAGGAACACCGGUGGCGAAGGCGGGUCUCUGGGCAGUAACUGACGCUGAGGAGCGAAAGCGUGGGUAGCGAACAGGAUUAGAUACCCUGGUAGUCCACGCCGUAAACGGUGGGCGCUAGGUGUGGGUUUCCUUCCACGGGAUCCGUGCCGUAGCUAACGCAUUAAGCGCCCCGCCUGGGGAGUACGGCCGCAAGGCUAAAACUCAA